rnacentral:rRNA from 1 species
AGUUUGAUCCUGGCUCAGAUUGAACGCUGGCGGCAGGCCUAACACAUGCAAGUCGAGCGGUAGAGAGAAGCUUGCUUCUCUUGAGAGCGGCGGACGGGUGAGUAAUGCCUAGGAAUCUGCCUGGUAGUGGGGGAUAACGUUCGGAAACGGACGCUAAUACCGCAUACGUCCUACGGGAGAAAGCAGGGGACCUUCGGGCCUUGCGCUAUCAGAUGAGCCUAGGUCGGAUUAGCUAGUUGGUGGGGUAAUGGCUCACCAAGGCGACGAUCCGUAACUGGUCUGAGAGGAUGAUCAGUCACACUGGAACUGAGACACGGUCCAGACUCCUACGGGAGGCAGCAGUGGGGAAUAUUGGACAAUGGGCGAAAGCCUGAUCCAGCCAUGCCGCGUGUGUGAAGAAGGUCUUCGGAUUGUAAAGCACUUUAAGUUGGGAGGAAGGGUUGUAGAUUAAUACUCUGCAAUUUUGACGUUACCGACAGAAUAAGCACCGGCUAACUCUGUGCCAGCAGCCGCGGUAAUACAGAGGGUGCAAGCGUUAAUCGGAAUUACUGGGCGUAAAGCGCGCGUAGGUGGUUAGUUAAGUUGGAUGUGAAAUCCCCGGGCUCAACCUGGGAACUGCAUUCAAAACUGACUGACUAGAGUAUGGUAGAGGGUGGUGGAAUUUCCUGUGUAGCGGUGAAAUGCGUAGAUAUAGGAAGGAACACCAGUGGCGAAGGCGACCACCUGGACUGAUACUGACACUGAGGUGCGAAAGCGUGGGAAGCAAACAGGAUUAGAUACCCUGGUAGUCC